GACGAACGCUGGCGGCGUGCUUAACACAUGCAAGUCGAACGAAGUGGCGAACGGGUGAGUAACGCGUAAUCAACCUGCCCUUCAGAGGGGGACAACAGUUGGACACGACUGCUAAUAUCGCAUACUGAGGGAGGGGAUUGCGUCUUAUUAGCUAGUUGGAGGGGUAACGGCCCACCAAGGCGAUGAUCAGUAGCCGGUCUGAGGAGGUGAACGGCCCCAUUGGGACUGAGAAACGGCCCAGACGCCUACGGGAAGCAGCAAGGGGGAAUCUUCCGCAAUGGACGAAAGUCUGACGGAGCAACGCCGCGUGAGUGAUGACGGCCUUCGGGUUGUAAAGCUCUGUUAAUCGGGACGCGGUACCGGAAUAGAAAGCCACGGCUAACUACGUGCCAGCAGCCGCGGUAAUUC
rnacentral:rRNA from 1 species